rnacentral:rRNA from 1 species
GACGAACGCUGGCGGCGUGCCUAAUACAUGCAAGUCGAGCGAGCGGAACUAACAGAUUUACUUCGGUAAUGACGUUAGGAAAGCGAGCGGCGGAUGGGUGAGUAACACGUGGGGAACCUGCCCCAUAGUCUGGGAUACCACUUGGAAACAGGUGCUAAUACCGGAUAAGAAAGCAGAUCGCAUGAUCAGCUUUUAAAAGGCGGCGUAAGCUGUCGCUAUGGGAUGGCCCCGCGGUGCAUUAGCUAGUUGGUAAGGUAAAGGCUUACCAAGGCGAUGAUGCAUAGCCGAGUUGAGAGACUGAUCGGCCACAUUGGGACUGAGACACGGCCCAAACUCCUACGGGAGGCAGCAGUAGGGAAUCUUCCACAAUGGACGCAAGUCUGAUGGAGCAACGCCGCGUGAGCGAAGAAGGUUUUCGGAUCGUAAAGCUCUGUUGUUGGGAAGAAGGAUAGAGGUAGUAACGGCCUUUAU